rnacentral:rRNA from 1 species
CAAUAGCGUAUAUUAAAGUUGUUGCGGUUAAAAGCUCGUAGUUGGAUUUCUGUCUAGAGCGACCGGUCCACCUUUCAGGUUGGUAUCAGGUAUGUUCUGGGCUUUUUCCUGGGUGACAUGGCUGCGCCUCGUUGUGCGGCCUGUUGUCUGGGUCUUUUACUUUGAGGAAAUUAGAGUGUUUCAAGCAGGCGCUUGCCUUGAAUAUAUUAGCAUGGAAUAAUACAAUAGGACUUCGGUUCUGUUUUGUUGGUUUCUGGAGCUGAGGUAAUGAUUAAUAGGGAUAGUUGGGGGCAUUCGUAUUUAACUGUCAGAGGUGAAAUUCUUGGAUUUGUUAAAGACGAACUACUGCGAAAGCAUUUGCCAAGGAUGUUUUCAUUGAUCAAGAACGAAAGUUAGGGGAUCGAAGACGAUUAGAUACCGU